UACAUUCUUGGGAUUUGCGAUUAUGUAUAGUCUUUGCCUUGCUGAUAAGCUUGGAUAUUGGUUUAAUCUCCCGGUCGUGAGGUGUUGCAUCUAAGGGGCACCUUGCCUUCUCCCAAAGUUCCAUUGUCAACAACUUUCUUUCUACACGCCCUUCUAUGUCGUUAGCCUUUCUGCUAAACUCUCACCCUCCAAAACUUUUACUGUCACUGGGUCUUCUUGUCAUUACUCUACACCUCCUGGAUUAAGUAUGCGUCUUAAGCGUGACGAAAUCACGUCACCUCUCGAGUCCCAGAAUGAGGUGCUUUUGUCAUGUCUUCCUUCACCCGUCGGCCAAAAAUGGCUUGAUUUCCCUCGAGGAUCAGGAAAUUGAAAAUCUCGUGUACGAUAUAAUAACUUUGGUCCAUGACGGUUCAACCGACAAAAAAACUUAAGGCCCAAGCCCGGAAGGAUUGAAUUGCAUGGGAAUAAUGGGAUAUGGGGCCAGAGGAAGUAGUGCACUACCGCACGUCCUAUUUCAGGAGUAUGCUGCUAGAUGAUGGGACUGUUCAAACGGAUGACAAGGAGAUCGCGGGUAAUUCUGGCUCCCAUUAGUGUAUUGCAUUUUCAUUGGUUUUAAAAUCGUCUGUUCCAACAUGUCAGGUGGAGGACUGGCUAUGCUAAGAUUCUUGGUUUCUAGUGAGGAUGGGUUAAAACUGUGGAUGAAAUUCAUGCUGCAUGAUCCCCCCCUUCGGGACUUGGGUAUCCAACUUAAUGAAUGCAUAGAUUCCACAUCAUCCACUAUAGACGAUGAUUAAGGCUGUUGUUUUUGAAGCUGACCCUCUAUCAAGCCAAAGAGAUCCUGACCUUCCUAAGAUGAUGUCGGCCGCCACCGCCGGGGAACCCGCGCAAGUGGAGAAGCGCGGACAUUCUUUCUAGUCAGGCGAAAAAGAUCUUGCC
rnacentral:sRNA from 1 species